AUCCUAUGUUGAGGAUAUUUCCAUUGAAGGUCGUUAAUCCUGUCCCAUGUCUAAAAAAGAGGCUCCAAUUCUGUUUCAACAAAAGAAGAUAUCUCAUUCUUAAGGUU